UAGGGAAUAUUGGACAAUGGGUGAGAGCCUGAUCCAGCCAUGCCGCGUGCAGGAAGAAGGCGUUAUGCGUUGUAAACUGCUUUUUGCCAGGGGAUAAAAUGACCGUGCGCGGUUAAUUGAAGGUACCUGGUGAAUAAGCCACGGCUAACUACGUGCCAGCAGCCGCGGUAAUACGUAGGUGGCAAGCGUUGUCCGGAUUUAUUGGGUUUAAAGGGUGCGUAGGUGGCCCUGUAAGUCAGUGGUGAAAUAUCUCAGCUUAACUGAGAGGGUGCCAUUGAUACUGCAGGGCUUGAGUACAGAUGAGGUAGGCGGAAUUGACGGUGUAGCGGUGAAAUGCGUAGAUAUCAAGAGGAACACCUGAGGUGAAGACGGGUUGCUGGGCUGACACUGACGCUGAGGCGCGAAAGCCAGGGGAGCAAACGGGAUUAGAUACCCACGUAGUCCCUGAGCGGGCUGGCAAGGCGCAU
rnacentral:rRNA from 1 species